rnacentral:rRNA from 1 species
GUAGUCCAUGCCGUAAACGAUGAUAACUAGCUGUCCGGGCACUUGGUGCUUGGGUGGCGCAGCUAACGCAUUAAGUUAUCCGCCUGGGGAGUACGGUCGCAAGAUUAAAACUCAAAGGAAUUGACGGGGGCCUGCACAAGCGGUGGAGCAUGUGGUUCAAUUCGAAGCAACGCGCAGAACCUUACCAGCGUUUGACAAACCGGUCGCGGAUUUGGGAGACCAUUUCCUUCAGUUCGGCUGGACCGUGCACAGGUGCUGCAUGGCUGUCGUCAGCUCGUGUCGUGAGAUGUUGGGUUAAGUCCCGCAACGAGCGCAACCCUCGUCCUUAGUUGCCAGCAUUUAGUUGGGCACUCUAAGGAAACUGCCGGUGAUAAGCCGGAGGAAGGUGGGGAUGACGUCAAGUCCUCAUGGCCCUUACACGCUGGGCUACACACGUGCUACAAUGGCGGUGACAGUGGGCAGCAAGCACGCGAGUGUGAGCUAAUCUCCAAAAGCCGUCUCAGUUCGGAUUGUUCUCUGCAACUCGAGAGCAUGAAGGCGGAAUCGCUAGUAAUCGCGGAUCAGCAUGUCGCGGUGAAUA